AACGAACGCUGGCGGCAGGCCUAACACAUGCAAGUCGAACGCGUGUAGCAAUACACGAGUGGCGCACGGGUGAGUAAUACGUGGGAACCAACCCUGAGGUUCGGAAUAACUGCGGGAAACUGCAGCUAAUACCGGAUGAUCCCCAAGGGGCGAAAGAUUUAUUCGCCUUGGGACGGGCCCACGUCCGAUUAGCUAGUUGGUGAGGUAACGGCUCACCAAGGCGACGAUCGGUAGCUGGCUGAGAGGAUGAUCAGCCACACUGGAACUGAGAUACGGUCCAGACUCCUACGGGAGGCAGCAGUGGGGAAUAUUGGGCAAUGGAGGCAACUCUGACCCAGCCAUGCCGCGUGGGUGACGAAGGUCUUCGGAUUGUAAAGCCCUUUCGGCGGGGGACGAUGAUGACGGUACCCGCAGAAGAAGCCCCGGCUAACUUCGUGCCAGCCGCCGCCGUAAU
rnacentral:rRNA from 1 species